rnacentral:rRNA from 1 species
AUGCUCUGCGUCGUCCAUGUCCUCCGGCUGGACGUCACCCUCCCAAAUACCAGGAGCUGCUUCAUCUCCGCCGUGCCGCCGCCAACCAUCUCCGGAGACCUCCUCAUGCUUCUUUUUGCGUCGAUGUCUAAAUCGGAGUCCGUGAAGCACGUCAUGAGGCCGGACGUGACGUUCAUCGUGGAGCAGACCGAGAUCCAUGCACACAAGCUUGUCCUCUCCGUGCGGUCACCAGUUUUCGCGGCGGAGUUUCGGUGGCACAUGGAUGAGAGUAUCAUAAUCAGGGUCGACGACGACGACGGCAUGAGCGCCUCCACUUUCAGGGCCAUGCUUCGCUUCAUCUACACCGAUGAGCUGCCCGUCAAACCAAACAACGACCGCAUGAUACUAAAAAGCGAAGAUAAACAUGCGGCAUGGCGCUACGAGGCCAUGGUGCGCGACCUGCUGGUAGCCGCCGAUCGGUAUGACUUACAGAGGCUAAGGCUCUUGUGCGAGAAGGUACUGGCUGAGGGCAUGGACGAUAAGUCUGUCAUACCUACAUUGAUGGUGGUGCACGGUAGGUACAAUUGUCGGCAGCUCGAGGAUUUAUGCAUCAAGUAUAUAGCAUCGCAUCCUAAUGUUUACAGUGCCCUGAAGGCAACCGAGGAGUAUAACCAGAUCAAGAAUAGUUGCUGCUCUUUCCUACUCGAAGUCACCGACAAAGUAGACACGAUCAAUAUGGCUCCAAACUGA